rnacentral:tRNA from 1 species
GAGGACGUGGCGGAAUCGGUAGACGCAGUGGACUUAAAAUCCACCGAUUAUUGUUAUCGUGAGGGUUCAAGUCCCUCCGUCCUCA